rnacentral:rRNA from 1 species
AGAGCAGCCGCGGGAAUACGGAGGAUCCAAGCGUUAUCCGGAAUCAUUGGGUUUAAAGGGUCCGUAGGCGGUCUUGUAAGUCAGUGGUGAAAGCCCAUCGCUCAACGGUGGAACGGCCAUUGAUACUGCAGGACUUGAAUUAUUGGGAAGUAACUAGAAUAUGUAGUGUAGCGGUGAAAUGCUUAGAGAUUACAUGGAAUACCAAUUGCGAAGGCAGGUUACUACCAAUUGAUUGACGCUGAUGGACGAAAGCGUGGGUAGCGAACAGGAUUAGAUACCCCUGUAGUCCCUGUCUCUUAUACA